AAAUUCUGCUAGGGGGGCCUUUUAUUGGCUGAGAAAGCAUAUUGCUUGACCCUUUGAACUUGACGUGGUUAGUACCAACGAAAGGAAGCAAAUUGUCAAUUAU
rnacentral:ncRNA from 2 species